AUGCUGCUUUCGGCUGGUCACAUCCAGCUGGGCGUCUCGGUGACAAGGCUGCCCCACACUUGCCCCAUCGAUCUCCUGUCACUCAUUAAUUUCCCCCGGGGAGGCGAGGAGGAUGUUCAGGAGAGGUCGCCUGCCGGGGAGGAGCCCACCGGAGCCCGCCUCAUAGACAUUUUGUAGUUUUUAAAGAACAAUCUGUUUUUAAAAUUCUUGUCUCAGAAGAACCUCUGUUACGGAGACACCGAUCACCUGUUUGGAAGAAAAUAUACAUCUUUCGAUGAACAGACUAGGCUAGGCCCGAAGGUCAAGGUCACCGGCUGAGAGCUCAGAGCGAGGGCUGGUCCCUCAGAGGGACAGGGCGGCCGUCAGGAGCACCGGGAACCUCGCUGGUGGUCCCCUGUUGCCUACGUGGGCUUGCGCCUGAGCCUGCGACCUCAUGACGCGUGUUCAUGGCUCGUGUGCAGGGAGCCAGCCCGUGCCAUGAGCGUUGGCCCGCACCCGGGGCCGUGGCACACUGCAGUCUGGAUGAGGCUCACAUGAUGGCACGCGGGAGACCUACAUCUCUCGUCCCUGGCCCAUGCGGAGGCCCGAAGGGGUGACGCUCUCUGCAAACAUGUUCUGUUCUCACUUGGAUCAGCCCGAGGAGGGAAAGAGAAGAGGCUUAAAACCCAUGCGAUUCUUACAUGGUGUUUCAAGAAGGAAAACCGUACUUUCCCAGAUCACAGAAUAAAUCCCCAUUUAGUAUUUUAUUAUUUUUGCUUAGUAAAAUAAUGUAAAAAUUUUCUAGAGCAUAGCGAAGAAUAAAGAUUAGAUUAAAUACAAAAAC
rnacentral:lncRNA from 1 species